rnacentral:rRNA from 1 species
AUCAACUUUCGAUGGUAGGAUAGAGGCCUACCAUGGUGGUAACGGGUAACGGGGUGUUAGGGCACGACACCGGAGAGGGAGCCUGAGAAACGGCUACCACAUCCAAGGAUGGCAGCAGGCGCGCAAAUUACCCAAUCCCGACACGGGGAGGUAGUGACAAUAAAUAACAAUACGGGGUUCUUUAGGAUCUCGUAAUUGGAAUGAGUACAAUUUAAAUCUCUUAACGAGGAACAAUUGGAGGGCAAGUCUGGUGCCAGCAGCCGCGGUAAUUCCAGCUCCAAUAGCGUAUAUUAAAGUUGUUGCAGUUAAAAAGCUCGUAGUUGAAUUUCGGGGUUAGUAAGUUGGUCAUGCCUUCGGUAUGUACUGGCUUCACUGAUUCCUCCUUCUUGACGAACCGUGAUGUCAUUAAUUUGGUGUUGCGGGAAAUCAGGACUGUUACUUUGAAAAAAUUAGAGUGUUUAAAGCAGGCUAACGUUUGAAUACAUUAGCAUGGAAUAAUGAAAUAGGACGUUAAUCCUAUUUUGUUGGUUUCUAGGAUCGACGUAAUGAUUAAUAGGGAUAGUUGGGGGCAUUAGUAUUCAAUUGUCAGAGGUGAAAUUCUUGGAUUUAUUGAAGACUAACUACUGCGAAAGCAUUUGCCAAGGAUGUUUUCAUUAAUCAAGAACGAAAGUUAGGGGAUCGAAGACGAUCAGAUACCGUCGUAGUCUUAACCAUAAACUAUGCCGACUAGGGAUCGGAUGAUGUUAUUUUUAAUGACUCAUUCGGCGCCUUACGGGAAACCAAAGUGUUUGGGUUC